rnacentral:rRNA from 1 species
AGAGUUUGAUCCUGGCUCAGAACGAACGCUGGCGGCGCGUUUUAAGCAUGCAAGUCGAACGGUAAAAGGGUGCUUGCACCCUUUGAGAGUGGCGAACGGGUGAGUAACACGUAGGUGAUCUGCCCUUUGGUUGGGGACAGCCUGUGGAAACACAGGGUAAUACCGAAUAAGAUCGGGACUCUUUGGAGAUCCGAUGAAAGCAGCUUCGGCUGCACCGAAGGAUGAGCCUGCGGCUGAUUAGCUUGUUGGCGGGGUAAAGGCCCACCAAGGCGACGAUCAGUAGCCGGCCUGAGAGGGUGAACGGCCACAUUGGGACUGAGACACGGCCCAGACUCCUACGGGAGGCAGCAGCUAAGAAUCUUCCGCAAUGGACGAAAGUCUGACGGAGCGACGCCGCGUGGAUGAUGAAGGCCGAGAGGUUGUAAAAUCCUUUUCCUAAAGAAGAAUAACAGUGGUAGGUAAUGACCAUUGGAUGACGGUAUUUGGGGAAUAAGCUCCGGCCAAUUACGUGCCAGCAGCCGCGGUAACACGUAAGGAGCNGAGCGUUGUUCGGAAUUAUUGGGCGUAAAGGGCUUGUAGGCGGCCCGCUAAGUCUGGUGUGAAAUCCCGCAGCUUAACUGCGGAUCCGCCAUUGGAUACUGGUGAGCUGGAGUCCGUGAGAGGAAACUGGAAUUCCUAGUGUAGGGGUGAAAUCUGCUGAUAUUAGGAAGAACACCUGGGGCGAAGGCGAGUUUCUGGCACAGGACUGACGCUAAUGAGCGAAAGCGUAGGGAGCAAACAGGAUUAGAUACCCUGGUAGUC